rnacentral:tRNA from 1 species
GACAGUUUGGCCGAGUGGUCUAAGGCGCUUGACUAGAAUCGGAACACUUCCGGGUUAUCAAGUCUCUUCGGAGGCGGCGGUUCAAAUCCGCCAGCUGUCG